AGGUUGUAGCCGCCCCAUGCUGCCCACGCGAGUGACGUCACCUGAGCAUGAAGUAUUUAAAUGAGAUGUCUUCAGCUUACCAUUGAGAAGAUCCCGACCACUAUGCACCCAGUCCGAAGACCGCAGCAGCAGCAGUUCUUCACGAUUGGCAUGAUGAUGGCGCCCUACUGCUCUACCUACCCUCUCACUCCCAGUCUUCCAAUGUCUUCAAGUCAAGUUGUUGCCAGACAUGUAUCAGAGACUGCGGAUAUUGAAGGAGGACAUCUAUUUCAACACAGAUAUAAUAUCACUGGAGAAAUGACGUGCGGAGAUAUGAAGUUACCCAUUUUCUACCCAUGACAUGAAGAAGGUAAUUAAGUAAACCACGAAUAACGUUCUGUAGCGCCUAAUGGCGGCCCUAGCAGCUAAGUAAACGAUUUUCCGUCACUGACACGUCGUUGUCUAUAUUUCAGGUAAUUCUUAACCAUAAAAACAAACUCAGCCAACAAGUGUGAAACGAUCAGCACGUCUUAUAGCCUUGAAAAUAUGCGCUGGCAUUAAGGUACAGUCUGCCAACAGGGGGCGCUGUAUACUGAUCAGGCUGAAAAACGUGUACGUAGGUUUUACGUCUGUUCUCGCCAUUUUCCUCUGUCGUUAUUGGCUUUCUCCCUUUCCAUAAACCCUCGAAGAAAAUAUAUUGAUGCGGGGCCGGAGAGCAUUUUCUCCCCGUCCCCGAGGGUUGUCGCUCUCAUCCACAACCAAAAGAGCAAUGCUUAUCGUCAUAGGCAUACAGAGAUCGUGAGUUCGAUAAGAUAACUGCUGACAAAUAGAGACCAGCGUCAAUGCUGACGCAGUUACCGGCGAAUUACGUAUAGAAUUCGCCGAGUCUGAAAGCGUUCUUUCACCUCGGAUUGCACAUUCACUCAGGUCAAUAUUACCUUAACCUAUACAGCUCUUGAAAACUGUCUUUUGGAAAAGCUAUUGACAGCGGAAUGAAAUCAAGCAUCAAUAAUUAUGAGCAAGAAAAAAUCAAUGGCAAUAUUUUGUGGCAAGUUUGCAUGGGACCUUACUCUGAAGCGGACCUGUGGGAUAUAUUGCUUCUCUUUGCAGGCUGAAAAAGGGGGACACGCAAAACAACAAUAACACUUCUGAAUUCGGGCAUAGUGCCGUCUGCUAGGGUUGUGCAACGCUGACUUCGUCUCGCGGUCAAUUUCAAAAUACAUACAUUGACGGCACUCCACGCAUCUCCACGGGGAGUUAGGGGACUUAAACGCGCAUAUCAAAGCACCUGCAAAUAAGCCCAAGUCUCGGAGUGUAUAGUGUUCCACUCCGGAUUUGUGUCCCGGGCCCGAUUUCCACCCACGGGACCCCGUUGGAAAUAUCAAAGUGGCCACUUUGAAUUUCAUAGGGGCUUUUCCCGCGUCGCCAGCGCAAGUUGAGCAUGCACACACAGCGGCGACAAUAAGAAUCAUGAUGCCGAUUGCUUGCCCAGCGGCCGGGCCAGGCAUUCCGCGGGCAGAGCACUAGCAAGCCGGUGAUCAUGUUUUUAGUGCAGUGUUCGUCACACCUCUUCAAUCUCGGGACCUCUAGGUGACAGAUUCCAGAUGGAUUGGAGGAUUGGAGUACAGAUAACAUCAGAAGAGAGCAUAUUUAUACACAAAGAAAAGUGCAUAAACUGCACCCAACAACAUAAUACCAACAUGUUGUAUGAUCCUUGUCUUAUUUCCUUUUGGUAAGUUUUUAGUCUAAAAUCAUCAGUAUUCGAGUGUUCCUAAAAACCCUUAUGGAAUAACUUUUAAAAAGCUAAUAUGACACCAAAACUAUAACAGGUAGAUUUAAUUUAGAAGAAUGUCAAAAUAAAAAAAAUGAACAUGUACAUAAAGUUGACUAACAAACCUUUGAUUUUGUACCAUGCAAUGAAAUUAAUUCGGGACUGCAAAAUGUGCAAAG